rnacentral:rRNA from 1 species
CAAGGGAAAUAUUUAUAGCUCUAGGAUCGGCCUGUACGGUAUCAGCUAGUUGGUGAGGUAAUGGCUCACCAAGGCAAUGACACCUAACUGGUUUGAGAGGAUGAUCAGUCACACUGGAACUGAGACACGGUCCAGACUCCUACGGGAGGCAGCAGUGGGGAAUAUUGCACAAUGGACGAAAGUCUGAUGCAGCAACGCCGCGUGGAGGAUGACACAUUUCGGUGCGUAAACUCCUUUUAUAUAGGAAGAUAAUGACGGUACUAUAUGAAUAAGCACCGGCUAACUCCGUGCCAGCAGCCGCGGUAAUACGGAGGGUGCAAGCGUUACUCGGAAUUACUGGGCGUAAAGAGCGUGUAGGCGGGUAAAUAAGUUGGAAGUGAAAUCCUAUGGCUCAACCAUAGAACUGCUUCCAAAACUGUUAACCUAGAAUGUGGGAGAGGUAGAUGGAAUUUCUGGUGUAGGGGUAAAAUCCGUAGAUAUCAGAAGGAAUACCGAUUGCGAAGGCGAUCUACUGGAACAUAAUUGACGCUGAGACGCGAAAGCGUGGGGAGCAAACAGGAUUAGAUACCCUGGUAGUCCACGCCCUAAACGAUGUACACUAGUUGUUGUGAGGCUAGACCUUGCAGUAAUGCAGUUAACACAUUAAGUGUACCGCCUGGGGAGUACGGUCGCAAGAUUAAAACUCAAAGGAAUAGACGGGGACCCGCACAAGCGGUGGAGCAUGUGGUUUAAUUCGACAUACGCGAAGAACCUUACCUGGUCUUGACAUAGAAAGAACUUUCCAGAGAUGGAUUGGUGCCUGCUUGCAGGAGCUUUCAUACAGGUGCUGCACGGCUGUCGUCAGCUCGUGUCGUGAGAUGUUGGGUUAAGUCCCGCAACGAGCGCAACCCUCGUCGUUAGUUGCUAACAGUUCGGCUGAGAACUCUAACGAGACUGCCUACGCAAGUAGGAGGAAGGUGAGGACGACGUCAAGUCAUCAUGGCCCUUACGACCAGGGCUACACACGUGCUACAAUGGGGUAUACAAAGAGCAGCGAUACGGUGACGUGGAGCGAAUCUCAAAAAUGCCUCCCAGUUCGGAUAGUAGUCUGCAACUCGACUACUUGAAGUUGGAAUCGCUAGUAAUCGUAGAUCAGCUAUGCUACGGUGAAUACGUUCCCGGGUCUUGUACUCACCGCCCGUCACACCAUGGGAGUUGAAUUCAUUCGAAGCGGGGAUGCUAAAAUAGCUACCUUCCACAGUGG